rnacentral:rRNA from 1 species
AGUGAACGCUGGCGGUAGGCCUAACACAUGCAAGUCGAACGGCAGCACAGUAAGAGCUUGCUCUUACGGGUGGCGAGUGGCGGACGGGUGAGGAAUACAUCGGAAUCUACUUUUUCGUGGGGGAUAACGUAGGGAAACUUACGCUAAUACCGCAUACGACCUACGGGUGAAAGCAGGGGAUCUUCGGACCUUGCGCGAUUGAAUGAGCCGAUGUCGGAUUAGCUAGUUGGCGGGGUAAAGGCCCACCAAGGCGACGAUCCGUAGCUGGUCUGAGCGGAUGAUCAGCCACACUGGAACUGAGACACGGUCCAGACUCCUACGGGAGGCAGCAGUGGGGAAUAUUGGACAAUGGGCGCAAGCCUGAUCCAGCCAUACCGCGUGGGUGAAGAAGGCCUUCGGGUUGUAAAGCCCUUUUGUUAGGAAAGAAAAGCAGCAGGUUAAUACCCCGCUGUUCUGACGGUACCCAAAGAAUAAGCACCGGCUAACUUCGUG